GAUGAACGCUGGCGGCGUGCCUAAUACAUGCAAGUCGAGCGAACAGACGAGGAGCUUGCUCCUCUGACGUUAGCAGCGGACGGGUGAGUAACACGUGGAUAACCUACCUAUAAGACUGGGAUAACUUCGGGAAACCGGAGCUAAUACCGGAUAAUAUAUUGAACCGCAUGGUUCAAUAGUGAAAGACGGUUUUGCUGUCACUUAUAGAUGGAUCCGCGCCGCAUUAGCUAGUUGGUAAGGUAACGGCUUACCACGGCGACGAUGCGUAGCCGACCUGGGAGGGUGAUCGGCCACACUGGAACUGAGACACGGUCCAGACUCCUACGGGAGGCAGCAGUAGGGAAUCUUCCGCAAUGGGCGAAAGCCUGACGGAGCAACGCCGCGUGAGUGAUGAAGGUCUUCGGAUCGUAAAACUCUGUUAUUAGGGAAGAACAAAUGUGUAAGUAACUAUGCACGUCUUGACGGUACCUAAUCAGAAAGCCACGGCUAACUACGUG
rnacentral:rRNA from 1 species